rnacentral:rRNA from 1 species
GGAACCUGCCCUUAGGUUCGGAAUAACACAGAGAAAUUUGUGCUAAUACCGGAUAAUGUCUUCGGACCAAAGAUUUAUCGCCUUUGGAUGGGCCCGCGUAGGAUUAGCUAGUUGGUGAGGUAAAGGCUCACCAAGGCGACGAUCCUUAGCUGGUCUUAGAGGAUGAUCAGCCACACUGGGACUGAGACACGGCCCAGACUCCUACGGGAGGCAGCAGUGGGGAAUAUUGGACAAUGGGCGAAAGCCUGAUCCAGCAAUGCCGCGUGAGUGAUGAAGGCCUUAGGGUUGUAAAGCUCUUUUACCUGGGAUGAUAAUGACAGUACCAGGAGAAUAAGCCCCGGCUAACUCCGUGCCAGCAGCCGCGGUAAUACGGAGGGGGCUAGCGUUGUUCGGAAAUACUGGGCGUAAAGCGCACGUAGGCGGCUCAGCAAGUCAGGGGUGAAAUCCCGGGGCUCAACCCCGGAACUGCCCUUGAAACUGCUAGGCUAGAAUCUUGGAGAGGUCAGUGGAAUUCCGAGUGUAGAGGUGAAAUUCGUAGAUAUUCGGAAGAACACCAGUGGCGAAGGCGACUGACUG